rnacentral:rRNA from 1 species
CCUGGCGGAUGCUUACACAUGCAAGUCGCACGGUCAGCAAUGGCAGUGGCGGACGGGUGAGUAACGCGUAGGAAUAUGUCCAGAGGUGGGGGACAACCCCGGGAAACUGGGGCUAAUACCGCAUAUGAGCUGAGGCUCAAAGCAGUGAUGCGCCUUUGGAGUAGCCUGCGUCCGAUUAGCUUGUUGGUGGGGUAAUGGCCUACCAAGGCGACGAUCGGUAGCUGGUCUGAGAGGACGACCAGCCACACUGGGACUGAGACACGGCCCAGACUCCCACGGGAGGCAGCAGUGGGGAAUAUUGGACAAUGGGCGCAAGCCUGGUCCAGCAAUUCCGCGUGGGUGAAGAAGGUCUUCGGAUUGUAAAGCCCUUUCGACGGGGACGAUGAUGACGGUACCCGUAGAAGAAGCCCCGGCUAACUUCGUGCCAGCAGCCGCGGUAAU